AGUGAACGCUGGCGGUAGGCCUAACACAUGCAAGUCGAACGGCAGCACAGUAAGAGCUUGCUCUUACGGGUGGCGAGUGGCGGACGGGUGAGGAAUACAUCGGAAUCUACUUUUUCGUGGGGGAUAGCGUAGGGAAACUUACGCUAAUACCGCAUACGACCUACGGGUGAAAGCAGGGGAUCUUCGGACCUUGCGCGAUUGAAUGAGCCGAUGUCGGAUUAGCUAGUUGGCGGGGUAAAGGCCCACCAAGGCGACGAUCCGUAGCUGGUCUGAGAGGAUGAUCAGCCACACUGGAACUGAGACACGGUCCAGACUCCUACGGGAGGCAGCAGUGGGGAAUAUUGGACAAUGGGCGCAAGCCUGAUCCAGCCAUACCGCGUGUGUGAAGAAGGCCUUCGGGUUGUAAAGCCCUUUUGUUGGGAAAGAAAAGCAGCAGGUUAAUACCCCGCUGUUCUGACGGUACCCAAAGAAUAAGCACCGGCUAACUUCGUG
rnacentral:rRNA from 1 species